CAGUGGAAAAUGCUAGUCUGCCUCCAAUCUCCAGUUUCCACCUCUGAGACUGUCUGUAUUUCAACACUCCCAUUUAAUGAGGGAACAAUGGAAUUAGGAAAAUCGAUGACUUGCCUGAGACCACACAACUACCUGGGAAUACAGACAGCAGUCAGGGUCUAGAUGUCUCAUGCAGCGUCCUCACCAUUACCACAUCUUUCUGAGACACACCUUUGACUAUGGAAAUUUUGUUGUACGUUUCUGAUCUUCCUUUGUUUUCAACUCAAUUUCCGCUUUCUAACUAGGGCUUCAGCUGACUUGAUAGUCAGGAAGAGUGAGCGAGUGCUUAGAUGUGGUGAUCUGGGUCAGGAACAGGACGGAGCGAUGCUUAUGGCAAACCAACAGAAUCUCCUGGUCACAAAAUGACCCAUUGGUGGGCCAAGGCCAUUUCCUGUAAUAUACAAUUGCAUCUUCUCCACCCCAGUGAUUGACUGGUGCAAACUCUCAAGCAGUAAAAAUUCAGGAAGGCUUAAUCAAUCCUUCUGCCACAUCUGAAACAAGCAAAUAACUGUUCACUUAUAGUUUAUGAUAAUGGCUGCUAGAGUCAAGUGACUGAACCAUGGGCCUCUUGCUGUUAGACAAAUAGCAUUAACUGACAGAGAUAAAUAAGAAACCAUGGAACCAUUUAUUUAAAUAUCAAAUAGAUGCUAAGGGAGGUGUGGUAUAGAGUAGUUCCAAAAUGGAUCCCAAGAACUUUAAUUUUCUAUUAUCUCUCUUUAGAAUACAGAACACACAUGAUAUAUGUGUUCUGUAUCAGUUGGACUAUUCCUUUGAUACGAACUGACCUAUGAUUUCUGGUGCUCUAGUGGCAAUGAUCACCAUGUAGCACUAUUUUGUGGCCAUGAACUAAUGAGUAAAGAAUAGGGGUAGAGUUAUUAUGUAAAUCAUGCCUUUGUCUAAGCACAGCCAAAUAGUAUCGCAGCAUGCCAGGCCAUGUGAGCAAAGGGUUCACUGUAAUUGCAUUUUAGAAAUGUGAGCAGACAGUUGAGUAUUCUCAUAGCAUCAUCUCCAGAGAGCCUGCUCAGGAGCAGAGAAGACCUUCUUCUUGUUGAAGAUGCUAAUUUAAUUUGGAAACAGCACUAUUACCCAUUUUAUGACAGUAAUCUGAGUAUCUGAAUUAUGUACUCUUUUAUUAUGUCUGAAAAUUAUUUAGAUUUUAGUAUUCCAUAAACAAUAUAUAAGGAUUUUAUGGCUUGAUUUGUAAAAAGAAAAUACUGAAUUAAAACCACAGUUGAGAGAAUUUUAAUGAUUCUGUGAGAAUCUCAUCAUUUAGGAAAGUUCAGUAGAUGAGUGGAGACUUGAGAGAAUGAGGUAUAAACUAUGAAUCCAACCGCAGUUCAUGCAGCAGAGGUUGUCAAGUCUCUUGGACAGCAGAGGGACCGUGGGGUGAGGGAGGUUAAAUUCUCACAAUCCAAUUAGGGACCCAACUUGCUGGAAACAGAAAGGGAAAUGUAAAUAUUCUCUUGUGUGGUUCUCUAAUGGGGUUGGCCUGGCAGUGUUGCUGAUUGCACUGUACUCAGCCAAAGGACUGAAUAAUAAUAACAAAAGCAAACCUUUAAACGCAAGCUCUGUUUUUGCUGCAAGCAAACUCCCAUCCCCAUCACAAGAACAUCUGUCCUUAGGGAACUUGUUUCUCUCCAAUCAGCAUCAUCUCAGAGAAGCAGAAAAUGGAAAACUCUUUGGCAAAUAAUUCUUCCCUAUAAUUCUGCAUUACAUUUGAUUAAUGAAGAGGCAAGAGGAAGCUCCAGCGAAAUGUGGUGCAGGCACUGGCAUUGCCACUUAGAUGACUCCAUCAAGAAAUUAUUUCUUUUGCUUUGCAAGUGCCUUUACCUGGCUCCAAGUCAUUUGGAAACAUCAUCUCAGAAGGGUAAAUUUUCCUUGCUCAUGGUCUGAAAAUUAAAGUCAGAGAUGGGUUUCCAUUAAUUUAUGGUCUCAGCAUAAAUUUGUUUUUACAGUUUCCCAGAAUGUGGGUGUUUUUUUUAAACCUUUCUUUCAAAGAUUUUCCAAAGCCAUUAUCAUUUAUAAAAAUUAUUGUGUUAAAAAUGUUCAACAAAAUAUGUCAUCUUAACCAUUUCUAAAUAGGCAGUUCGUUAGUUUUUAGUGUGCUCACAUUGUUUGUGUAAGUAAUUACCAAAACUUUUUCAUCUGUCACAACUGAAACUCUGCACCCAUUAAGCAGUGAAUCACUGUUUCCUCCCCUAUUUACCUCUGGCGACCAACAUUUUACUUUCUAUUAAUAUGAAUUUAUUUCUUUAGAUACUUUACCUAGUGAGAUGACCUAAUGUUUAUCUUCCUUUUCCCCAGUAUUUAUCUUUCUUGAUUGGUUUAUUUUACUUAGCAUAAUGUCAUAAAAUUCAUCCAUGUUAGUGUUUUAAUUUGACAUCUUGUUAGUUAUUUGGAUCAUUUCUACAUGGAUUUGUAACUAUCACUUUGGAGGUGUUUAUCCUACUCCUUCAAUGGACAUUGAAAAACUUAACUGUUUUCUUGCUGAUCUGUUGGGCCAUUUUGUUUUGCAUAUCAUUAGAAAGUAAUUCUAUAACAAAUAUCUUUCUUCACUUAGAACCUUGUUUACUUGGGAUUAUUUUUCUUUAGAUGCAUUUCUAGCAGUGAAACAGUUUGCUUGAAAAGUAAUUUUAUAGUUAAUUUUGGAAAUUGGAAUUACAGCUUUGUGGGAAUAUAGCCAAGCUACUCUAUUUGAUAUAGGUUAUUGUGAAUAAUACUUCAGUCAAUACAGUCAAUAUUUUCUCUAAAUUUAUUUGUAUCAUUAACAGAAGUGCUUUUCACUGUGAGUAAAUAAAAAGUAUAUCAAAUCAACAAUAACUUAAGCAGAUCGUAGUUUAAUUUUCUUAUAUAAUAUAACAAGUCUAGUUGUAGUCUAGAUGUGCUGUUCUGGGUUAGCAAUGCUCAUGAAAAUCUUCAAGGCCUGGGACCCAUUACAUCUUCAGAUUCGUCCAUCCUUAGUAAGUAGUUUUGUCUUCCUGGUUACAAGAUGGCUAUUAUACCUCUAGGUAUUGAACGAGCUUCCUAAGCAUGAAGAAAGAAGAGGAACAAAGGACUAAAGGGGCAUAUUAUCUUUAUGUACUAAUCAAAUACUUCCCCCAGAAGUCCCAUCUGACUAUUUGGCUUUGAGCUCAAUGUUCAGAAUCAGGUCAUGUAGUCACAGUUGACUUCAUGGUGGUAUGUGACCGAGAGUAUUUUAUCCUGUACAUCUCUGGGUCUAAAAAGAUCACGGUGCUUAUUACAAGAUUUUCAUUACUUCAAGUGAAAAAGGAAGGACAUGAUUUUUAUUUAUUCCAAUAAAAUGACAAACUCCUUCAGAGGAGCUGUAGAACUGUAUUCAGAUCUGAAUUCUGAGCAUUCAUGUAGAGAAGACUCAAGAAAUGUUUGUAAUAUACUGAAAAAGUCAACAAAUGAUCACUCUAAAAUUAGGAUGGGUUAGUUAAAUAGUCACAUUGGAUUAGCUUAUUUACUUUGAUAGCAUUUUUUUUUUUGCCUGACAAUUUAGGAACAUGCAGCAGAAAUAGAAUAUUAAAUAUACAUAGUCUCUCACUGAACUGUACACAAAUGGAGAAAUGUGUGUUCACAAGAAAUAGAGAUUUUAAGAAUUAUAUACACAAGCUACUCACUAAUGGAGAACGUUUAACACCAAGAAAACAAAGAUUUUCUUCCCUUCUAGUGUCUACAGCAGUAUGUAUCCUGUGUGACCAUUUAGUAGCAGUAUGUGAAACAAAUGAAUGUGAACCUGUAUUGACAGAAUCAAUAUUCCUAGGGAUACACUGCAUAUUCUGAUCUGAAUCUUACUCUUUUCAAGGGGAAGCUUAUCAAUGACAUCAUUGAGUAUAUUCCACUUUGGGCUCAUUUUGGACUUUGAUAAGUAAACAAUCAGAAGAGUGAAUGCAAUGAAUGAUAGACUUCAGAUUCAAAGGCAUUUGGGUUACAUCAGCUAAUGGCUGGGAAGUGGAGCAAAGAGAGUUCCAGGGAGGCUUCUCUGAAAAGGUGACACAUGAAGUAACUUCUGAAAGAGGAGAAGAAACCCUGAUUAUAGGACCCAUUCUGGGGGCUGGGGAUUUAGCUCAGCGGCAUAAGUGCCUGCCUUGCAAGCGUGUGGUCGUGAGUUCGAUCCCUGGUACCAGUAAAAAUACAAAAAUACAAAAAAAAAAAAAAAAAAAAAAAAAAGACCCAUUCUGUGUCUUCCAAAAAUGGCUUGGCCACAUCUAACCCCUGAGCACUGUUUCUUUGCUUGUCCACUGAAAGGCUCCAGCUGCUAUUGCUGCUGCUUUUCUCCUGCCUCUACCAGUGGUCUCAGCCUCCCCUGGGGAAGGCUAUUCUCCCACCCAGCCUCUUGUUCAGGCAGAAAACCUUCUGUGGCUGUCAGGCUCCAUCCAUUUCUACUCUUUGAGGUUCCUCCCAUCACUUCCAGGGAGGAAUGAGGUAUUCUGCCGUGUAACAGGAGGCCUGGGUUCCCUAGUGGUUGCCAUGCUCCUUCCCUAAGAGACCCACUCAGCCAUGGAAACAGGAAACAGGAAGGACUAGUGGAUGAAUUCCUUUCUCUCCUGCUGACGGUGCUCUUAGGCUCAAUGAUGAAAUAUGUGCCAUCCAGAAGAAAUUCUGGUGACCAAGGGAACGAGUAUGAGCUGUGUGAUACCUCUCCACUCUGAAUUUACUUUCCUCUUCUUUCUGCUUUACCUUUUGCUAAGGUUUGCAUGUUGUUUGACCUCAAAAUGUAUUCCUGGCUUAUUCUCCAGUAAAAUGGUAGGAUGUGGUAAGCCUUUAAGAGGCGGAGCUAAUGAGAAGUCCUUAGGUCACUGUUGGCAUACCCUCAAGAGAAACCCUGGGCCCGGGCCUCUCUGUCUUUCAGUCUGGUGAUGUGAUGACUCUCUUGUAUGUGUUCCCAUGGCUGUGGUGUGACUGACCAUGAGGUCCUCUCUUGAAACAAACAGAUGCUAAUGCCAUUAAACCUCCUGAACUGUGAUCUGAACAUUUCUUUUCUUUAUAAAAUUAGCGUGUCUCAGGUAUUUCAUUAUAGUAAUGCAAAACAAAGUAAUAAACGUUUAUCUCUUCAUUUCUGAGUACUGAACUUAUAAUGCUUCUUAAAUCUUUGUUUGUAAGCUUAGUUUUAGGAUCUGUUAAUCAGUGAACUAAGGCAAAACAAAUUCUAUGCAAAUAUUCAAGGUGGAUCUGUAGUUCCUGAACUGUUUAGAGAGGUUUUCCAGCUCAUAUGAGCACUACAGGAUAAAUUAAAUCUUUGAUAAAAAACUUAAUGACAUUUGACAUCUGUUGAACCCAUUCUAUUAGUAUACCACUAGCUCAGGGUAGCUGUCAGUUUCACACUAGCUCACACUACAUUCUUCCAGGAACAUUAUAUUUACAAAAUCUGUGGUUUUGGUGGUUGCUCUGAUAAAAAGCAACACGAGGUGGAAAUGAUUCUGAUAUGAUUCUAAGGCUUAAGAAGUUAAUCAUUGCCUAUUACUAACUCAUGAACCAGUCAUGGAGCUACUGACAAAUGCAUACAAACAUUUUUUCUUUCAAUAUUCUUGUCUAUUUUCUUCAUCAGUGACUAAAGAUGCAAGACAUAAAUACUUGUUGAGCUAUGAACACUAACUACUUAAUAAACAUAUGUUCUACAUUCUGUUUUCAUAAAUGUUGGCUUAGAAAAAGAAUUAGACACUAGAGUGGAUUGAGCUGAGAAAGUUUGGGAAAGGUAGCAAGCGCAGAGUUCCAGAGGUACAAAUGACCUUAGCAGGUGUGAGAACCAGUCAGAAGUGCUCCAGAAGAGGGAAGAAUCACCGGAGAGACUAGGUAAGCCUCAGGCUUUGGUAAGGAGCUCAGGUUUCAUUUUGUAGAAAAUGGUACACAUAGCUCUGGAACAAACCACUCUUCCUUCAAGUGACAUUUUCAAAAGCUCUGUUAUCCUUCAUGGUCUAUAAAUAACCAAGGUCCUCGAUGUGUACAUAUACCUGUGCAUGUUUGGCUUAUAACUUUUAUAAAAGAGUGACUCCAUUGUUACCUCCUAAAAAUUCCUGAUAACCAUGUGUAUUCAAAAUAUUACAUGUGUUGGUUUUAUUAUUAUCUGCUCCUGCAGCCUUGGUGGCUGAUAAAUUUGUAGCCCCAGCACCUUCUCAACUGGAUUUGUAAAAGUAUUUAGACUUAUGGCUGGGGAUUUAGCUCAGCGGCAUAAGAACCUGAGUUGCAAGCAGGUGGUCGUGAGUUCAAUCCCCAGUACUGAUAAAAAAAAAUAUUUAGACUUAAAUUUUAUUCUUUCUAUAAAGAAAGAGCUUCAUAUUCAAAGCCAUUUUUAUCAGGUCAAAUACUCAACUUUGAUAAGUCUUGAAUGAUUUUUUAUUUAAGAACCAUAAAUAGGAAGAUAAGAAUUCUUUGCCCUUCAGUGAGAAAUGACUUUGGGCAAUGAAUGUAUGCAGUUUUGAGCUGUGGGAGUAUAUUGUGGCUCUAGAACUGGAAGGCUUCAGCAAAGUGGAGAGAUGUUCAUGUUCUUAUUUGUGUGCAUAUAUUGCUCAAAAUCACAUGUUACAUUUUUGAACCAGAAUGUUAAUUUCUGUGAUUGGAAUGCUUUUGACCCAUUCCCAUGACACUUAGUGUUAUGGUAACCAAGAAGCUGAAUGAAUGUACAAGUUCUUAGUGUAAUAUAAAAUAUAAUAGACUAUACAUAUAUAUGUAUAGUAAUAGUAUAUGUAAUAGAAUACACUUAUGUAUAUUAUGUAUAUAGUAUAUGUAAUAGAAUAUACGUAGGAUGACUGAUAGGUUCAGUGCUUCUCAGAAAGUCCGCCCUACAGCAGAACUCAUUUGUCCUGUGGUAAAAUUAUCUGUGCUUCUUAAAUUUUUCUCUCCCUUCAAUUAGGUUGCUCUUGUAGGGACUGAUUUUGAAAGUUUCCUUUGUUUGUUAACCCACGAUAUAUUCUUUAAGCAUGGAAGAAUAUAGCCUGAUAGGUCCUCUUGGCUUGUCUGUUAGUCUGUAAGACAUUUUGUCUUCUGUUGGUAUGUACUGAUUGAAUUAGGCAAAACUUCAAGAUUCUAAUUCUGCUGUCACUGUAUUCUUAUAUAUCCCUUCACACACACACACACACACACACACACACACACACACAAACACACACACACAGAGUGUGGUUUCUCUCUAUAUAUAUACUUUUUCUUCUUUUUUAUUUAAGAGCAUAUUUUUGAGUUUGUUUUAUAAUAAUAAUAUAUCAAUUUAUUUUAUUCCUGUUAGUAACACCAGAUAAUUUCAUUGUAUUGAUGAUUAACUAUUUAUGUAAUUAGACCAAUAAUAAUGUUAAUAUAUAUCUAAUUACCUGGAUUAAUAACUUAGACUGUGUCUAGUCUAAAAUUUUUUUGUAUAUCUACAAGUAAAUCAGAAGGAAAAUUUCUAGAAAGAAAAUUGUCAUGUUAAUUAGAUUAUACAUUUUAAAAAACUGUAUUUUCAAAUACUGAUAUUGUCAAAUUUUCUAUUGGUGAGACUACUAAUUAAACUAUCUCAGCAAUCU